rnacentral:rRNA from 1 species
AUUGAACGCUGGCGGCAGGCCUAACACAUGCAAGUCGAACGGUAACAGGAAGCAGCUUGCUGCUUUGCUGACGAGUGGCGGACGGGUGAGUAAUGUCUGGGAAACUGCCUGAUGGAGGGGGAUAACUACUGGAAACGGUAGCUAAUACCGCAUAACGUCGCAAGACCAAAGAGGGGGACCUUCGGGCCUCUUGCCAUCGGAUGUGCCCAGAUGGGAUUAGCUAGUAGGUGGGGUAACGGCUCACCUAGGCGACGAUCCCUAGCUGGUCUGAGAGGAUGACCAGCCACACUGGAACUGAGGCACGGUCCAGACUCCUACGGGAGGCAGCAGUGGGGAAUAUUGCACAAUGGGCGCAAGCCUGAUGCAGCCAUGCCGCGUGUAUGAAGAAGGCCUUCGGGUUGUAAAGUACUUUCAGCGGGGAGGAAGGGAGUAAAGUUAAUACCUUUGCUCAUUGACGUUACCCGCAGAAGAAGCACCGGCUAACUCCGUG